rnacentral:rRNA from 1 species
GACGAACGCUGGCGGCGUGCCUAAUACAUGCAAGUCGAACGAGAGCGACCGGUGCUUGCACUGGUCAAUCUAGUGGCGAACGGGUGAGUAACACGUGGGUAACCUGCCCAUCAGAGGGGGAUAACAUCCGGAAACGGAUGCUAAAACCGCAUAGGUCUUCGAACCGCAUGGUUUGAAGAGGAAAAGAGGCGCAAGCUUCUGCUGAUGGAUGGACCCGCGGUGCAUUAGCUAGUUGGUGAGGUAACGGCUCACCAAGGCCGUGAUGCAUAGCCGACCUGAGAGGGUGAUCGGACACAUUGGGACUGAGACACGGCCCAAACUCCUACGGGAGGCAGCAGUAGGGAAUCUUCCGCAAUGGACGCAAGUCUGACGGAGCAACGCCGCGUGAGUGAAGAAGGUUUUCGGAUCGUAAAACUCUGUUGUUAGAGAAGAACAAGUGCUAGAGUAACUGUUAGCGACUUGACGGUAUCUAACCAGAAAGCCACGGCUAACUACGUG